rnacentral:misc_RNA from 1 species
AGAAGGUAAAAAAUAAAAUAAAUAGAACUUUAAAAAGAUAAAUAAAUUGAUGUUCAUCAACAGAAGUAAGCUUUGUUUUAAUCAUCAAAUAUUAUUCAGAUUCCACAUUCUCACCGUCUCCAAACUGCUCUAUUCUAUUUACGCCGCCGUCGUCGUCGCCUUCCAGGUCAUCGUCCUCGAUUAGCCACCGAUCGAACGGCGCACAUUCCGUCUUAUGCCGCAGUUUCCAGUCCAGAGCUUGGCAUCCUCGUGAACAAUAGUUUACAUUACCACAAACAGAGCAUCGCCGGAAUUCAUGUAGCCGCGUCUCUGGCCUUCCACAACCACUGUUUGAGCAAAGUCUCAGUCCUUCAGCGAUACAUCCACGCCCCGAUGCGAACCAAUCUCUUAAAAACUGGUUCGCCGGAUGAGCCUCUGGCGCUGGAAAGUUACAGCCGAAGUCACUGAGAAGCGAUCCGUCGGAAUCCGUCGCGGAAGGGCGGUCGCCGGAGCAGUGGAGACGGCGGAGGGAGGAGUUUGUUAUGGACGCGAGUUCACGCGCGUUGGCUUCGAUUAGGAGACGACGUCCUUCGGAUGCGUUUUGAGGGACGCCAUAACCGUCUUGAAGGCAGUGACCUAGUUCACGAAGCGCGUCAAUAUGGCCGAGAUAAGCGGCUCGUCCACACAGAGCAACUCCGGCACGGAGAUUCUUGUCGCUCUUUGAGCCACCGCUACCGUUGAAUUGUACGAUGGCGAGCGAGUAAAGCGCCAACGGAUGAGAUUUAAUCGCGGCUUUCGCCAUUAACGAAGCUCCACUCCCUCUGUUCUUUAAACAAUAAAACUCGAUCAUUCCGAGAGUGUAGCAGGCUUCCACGUUACCAGCAGAAACGCACAAUUUGAGAAAUCGAUGAGUCGAUUCAGACCAGUUUUUCGUCUGGAUUUCAAAUGCUUUAGGUCCAGCUUUCGAUAACACAAUCGGAUGCAGAGCCAAUCGAUUGAACCUUUUACAUGUUAUCAUGACAUUAACGAGGUCGGAAGGAGAAGAAGCGAUGGCGCUAAGCUUGCUAAGGACGACGACGACUAGAUCGUCCGGCAAAGCGUCGAAGAGAUCAGAAAUCCCGGCGCCGGUGCUGGUGGAAGUUCUUCGCCUUUUAUUGCACACCAUUCCGGAAUGUAAUAGAGUGUUCUUUGUUGUGGCCUUCACCUUGAAAAAGAAACCGCCAUGAGAGGAGUGCAAAAAUGGAGGAUGAAACGAAGGGAGAAUUGGAUCGUUG